CCCCAGACAGCUGGAGGAGAUAAACAGAGGAGGAGGAGGGAGGGGAGUGCGUGUGUGAGAGCGCGCGAGGGAGUGUGAGUGUGUGUGAGCGCGGGUGUGAGGCGGUGCGCAGGGGCGGGCGGAGGCGCUGUCCGGCCCCGGCCAGGCGCCGGGCGGGGAGCAUGGGAAGGGGCUAGAGCUGCCCGGGCCCCCCAGCCCCCUCCCCGGGAUCCGCGCCCCCCCCCUCCCGGGAGAGGGGCCGGGCCCCCUGGACGGACAUGGGCUCCUGAAGUUGCGCCGCCGCUGGUCCUGGGAAGAGGCCUGACAGGUAAUUAAAUGUGUGUCUUGUGGACCUGGGCUUGGCUGGAAUGCUCAAGGGUCCUGAAGAUCCUUCUAUAGCUUCCUGCUGUUGAAUCCAUUAAGAGAAGAUGGCAAAAGUCAACAUAACUAGAGACCUCAUCUGUAGGCAGAUCAAGGAGCGGGGUGCCCUGAGCUUUGAGCGGCGCUACCAUGUCACUGACCCCUUUAUCAGGCGGCUGGGCCUGGAAGCAGAGCUACAGGGUCACUCAGGAUGUGUCAACUGUCUGGAGUGGAACGAGAAAGGAGAUUUGCUGGCCUCUGGUUCCGAUGACCAGCACACAAUUGUGUGGGACCCUCUGCACCACAAGAAGCUGCUCUCCAUGCACACAGGACACACGGCAAAUAUCUUCUCUGUCAAGUUCCUGCCUCAUGCUGGGGACCGCAUCUUGAUCACGGGGGCAGCUGACUCCAAAGUGCAUGUCCACGACCUGACAGUAAAGGAAACAAUCCACAUGUUUGGAGACCACACAAACCGGGUAAAACGCAUCGCCACAGCGCCCAUGUGGCCCAACACAUUCUGGAGUGCUGCUGAGGAUGGGCUUAUCCGCCAGUAUGACCUUCGGGAGAACAGCAAACACUCGGAGGUGCUGAUUGACCUGACAGAGUACUGUGGCCAGCUGGUGGAGGCCAAGUGCCUCACCGUCAACCCCCAGGACAACAACUGCCUGGCUGUAGGGGCCAGUGGGCCCUUUGUGAGGCUCUAUGACAUUCGCAUGAUCCAUAACCACAGGAAGAGCAUGAAGCAGAGCCCUUCGGCAGGUGUCCACACCUUCUGUGACCGGCAGAAGCCUCUUCCGGAUGGUGCAGCCCAGUAUUACGUAGCAGGUCACCUGCCAGUGAAGCUGCCUGAUUACAACAAUCGUCUGAGAGUGUUGGUUGCCACCUAUGUGACCUUCAGCCCCAAUGGCACAGAGCUGCUGGUCAACAUGGGAGGGGAGCAGGUCUAUUUGUUUGACCUGACUUACAAGCAGCGGCCGUACACCUUCCUCUUGCCUAGAAAAUGCCAUUCCUCAGGGGAAGUUCAGAACGGCAAGAUGUCCACCAAUGGUGUAUCCAACGGCGUGUCCAAUGGCCUGCACCUUCAUAGCAAUGGCUUCCGGCUGCCGGAGAGUAGGGGACAUGUCAGCCCCCAGGUAGAGCUGCCCCCAUACUUGGAGCGUGUGAAACAGCAAGCCAAUGAGGCCUUUGCCUGCCAGCAGUGGACCCAGGCCAUUCAGCUUUACAGCAAGGCCGUGCAGAGGGCCCCUCACAAUGCCAUGCUCUACGGGAACCGAGCUGCUGCCUACAUGAAGCGCAAGUGGGACGGCGACCACUACGAUGCCCUGAGAGACUGCCUCAAGGCCAUCUCCCUAAACCCAUGCCACCUAAAGGCACACUUCCGCCUGGCCCGCUGCCUCUUUGAGCUCAAGUAUGUGGCCGAGGCCCUGGAGUGCCUGGAUGACUUCAAAGGGAAGUUUCCGGAGCAGGCCCACAGCAGCGCUUGUGACGCACUGGGCCGCGACAUCACGGCAGCCCUCUUCUCCAAAAAUGACGGUGAGGAGAAGAAGGGAGCUGGUGGUGGCGGUGGCGGUCCUGUCCGCCUCCGCAGCACGAGCCGCAAGGACUCCAUCUCCGAGGAUGAGAUGGUGCUGCGGGAGCGAAGCUACGACUAUCAGUUCCGCUACUGUGGCCACUGCAACACCACCACGGAUAUCAAGGAGGCCAAUUUCUUUGGCAGGUCCGAGGCCCUGAAGAGGAGGAGGGCACAGCCCGGUUGGCAGCAGGAGCAACGCUCAGUACAUCGUCAGUGGCUCUGACGAUGGCUCCUUCUUCAUCUGGGAAAAGGAGACCACCAACCUGGUCCGUGUGCUCCAAGGGGACGAGUCCAUUGUCAACUGCCUGCAGCCACACCCCAGCUACUGCUUCCUGGCCACCAGCGGCAUCGACCCUGUUGUGCGGCUCUGGAACCCCCGGCCAGAGAGUGAAGACCUCACAGGCCGAGUUGUGGAGGACAUGGAGGGUGCUUCCCAGGCGAACCAGCGACGCAUGAAUGCUGACCCACUGGAGGUGAUGCUGCUCAACAUGGGCUACCGGAUCACAGGCCUGAGCAGUGGGGGUGCUGGGGCCUCUGACGACGAGGACAGCUCCGAGGGCCAGGUUCAGUGCCGGCCCAGCUAGACCCUCCUAGCUCUGGUCCCCAGCCCCUGCUACUGGCUGGACCCUUCACCAUGGGCAGGAGGUCAGGGGGUUCUGUUUUGGUUUGUCUUCCCCUCCUCCCCCCAUUUUUUCAUUUCCCUGUUUUGUUUGUUAGUUUGGCAUUGGGGGUGGGGGGUUGCUACAACUUGCUGGCUUUCAGACUUUUGGGCAGAUUGCCCCUUGACUGGCCCCAGCUCUGAGCAGAAGAGCAGGAGGGGAAGCCCCUCCAAAUACCCCCCACCUCCCACUUCCAUGUUCCUGGCGGGCUCUGGCCUGCCUCAGGUUGGGAGGCAAGGGCUGAAGCUGUCUUCAAGGAUUGCCCUACACUUCAGUUGGCGACAGGAAGGGGAGUGGAAUUCCAGUCCGUAAGGGCUAGCCUUGACCUGUUGCCACUCUUGCUCCUACGGGCAAGGCUAGCUCCUCUGUGGCUUCAGGGAAGGUUCUGAAAAAGGAUGGGGUCCCACCCUCCCUCCAGAGCCACCAUGUCAGGGUGGAAGCAGAAGGAAGGUGGGAGUCCUGCAGUAGGUGAGGCCAGUCCCCAGCCUGGGCAGGAGAGCGUCCUCGCCCUUCUCCCAGUGCUGGCUCUGGACCCCGCGCCUGCGCUCACUGGCCACCUCUGGGGGCUUAGCCUUUCCCAAGGGCCCUGGCAGAGGGUGGAGCACCACGCCAUACCCUUCUGCACUGCACUACGACCACUCCCACUCCCCUUUCUGGGGGCUCCUUGGCCUCACUGUGACCUUUCUGCCAGAGCUCCCAGCCAGGCCUACUCUGCUGAGGUGGCGCUCCCUGCUAAGGGCCCUUUCUGCCCUCCCUCCCACUCCACGUGCUGAGCCGCCACAAAGACCAAAGAAGUGAUGGCUUUUCUCUGUCCCCCUGCUGCUCUGGGGGGAGGGGGGUGGGUCUCCUGAGCCACUCAGACGGGAAAAUCCCUAACUUGGCCCCCUCCCUCCUCAGCAGCCCCAAGCUUAACACUGGACAGCAGUCACCCCACCACUCACCAAGCCUCUCUCUGCCCCCUUGGCUCUCAGCUGGGAGCUGCUCCUGAUAGUUGCUCAGCCUUCCUCCUCUCUCCCCCCUCUUUCCCCUCAGUGCUUACUUGGCUCCAGCCCUCCAGCUGCAGCCUCCCUUCUUCCCUCCCUCCGUCCUUCCCUCCCUCCGCCUGGUCUCUGCCAGGUGCCUCCUCUCAGUCAGGCUUCAGAGCAGCCCUGGAGACAGGAGGGCCAUGUUAAAAGCUUUUUCACAGUUUUAAGAAGGGGGGUGGUGAGGAUAGUGGUGGGGGGUCUGGCACCAUCUCGUCAUUGCUUUAAUCCCAGCAACACAGGUGGCAGCUUCUUCCCCCUCCGCCCCACCCAGUCCCUCUCCCACCCCUCUCUCCUAGCUUGGUAAUGAAGUAUAUUUAUUGGUGAAGGAAACAGCUGCUGCUGCUUUUCCUGCUGCUGGGACUUGCUCCCCUGUCUCUUCUCCAUGACCUUUCUCGAGCCAGGGAGGGGAAAGCAGGAGUGCGGGGGCUGGGCCCUGGGGCCCAAGGACCAGCAGGGGCCCCUUUUGCUUUCCUGUGUUUGAGCCACCUGCCAUUUCCUCUCUCCCUGCCUCCCACCCUCCCUCCCUCCCUGCCCCCCCCUCCCCGCCCCCUGCCUGCCCAGCCUGGGCCCUGCAGUGUGGAGAGACACAUAAGCCUUACUGUCCUCUGGGGGCAGGAGCCGAGCCUUUUUGUUGCUCCGCUCCCAGGAGAGUGAGGGUGACGCAAUUGAUUAAAACCAUUUUGUUCUA